GGCCCGUUCGACUUCGGGUGAGGUCCGCGGUCUUUCACACCGUGCAGGUUGAGUUCGACUCUCACACGGGCUGC
rnacentral:tRNA from 1 species